rnacentral:rRNA from 1 species
GUAUAAGAGACAGCAGUAGCCGCGGGAAUACAGAGGGUGCGAGCGUUAAUCGGAUUUACUGGGCGUAAAGCGUGCGUAGGCGGCUUUUUAAGUCGGAUGUGAAAUCCCUGAGCUUAACUUAGGAAUUGCAUUCGAUACUGGGAAGCUAGAGUAUGGGAGAGGAUGGUAGAAUUCCAGGUGUAGCGGUGAAAUGCGUAGAGAUCUGGAGGAAUACCGAUGGCGAAGGCAGCCAUCUGGCCUAAUACUGACGCUGAGGUACGAAAGCAUGGGGAGCAAACAGGAUUAGAUACCCGAGUAGUCCCUGUCUCUUAUAC